AGAGUUUGAUCCUGGCUCAGGACGAACGCUGGCGGCGCGCCUAACACAUGCAAGUCGAACGAGCGAGAGAGAGCUUGCUUUCUCAAGCGAGUGGCGAACGGGUGAGUGACGCGUGAGGAACCUGCCUCAAAGAGGGGGACAACAGUUGGAAACGACUGCUAAUACCGCAUAAGCCCACAGCUCGGCAUCGAGCAGAGGGAAAAGGAGCAAUCCGCUUUGAGAUGGCCUCGCGUCCGAUUAGCUAGUUGGUGAGGUAAUGGCCCACCAAGGCGACGAUCGGUAGCCGGACUGAGAGGUUGAACGGCCACAUUGGGACUGAGACACGGCCCAGACUCCUACGGGAGGCAGCAGUGGGGAAUAUUGCACAAUGGGGGAAACCCUGAUGCAGCGACGCCGCGUGGAGGAAGAAGGUCUUCGGAUUGUAAACUCCUGUUGUUGAGGAAGAUAAUGACGGUACUCAACAAGGAAGUGACGGCUAACUACGUGCCAGCAGCCGCGGUAAAACGUAGGUCACAAGCGUUGUCCGGAAUUACUGGGUGUAAAGGGAGCGCAGGCGGGAAGACAAGUUGGAAGUGAAAUCUAUGGGCUCAACCCAUAAACUGCUUUCAAAACUGUCUCUCUUGAGUAGUGCAGAGGUAGGCGGAAUUCCCGGUGUAGCGGUGGAAUGCGUAGAUAUCGGGAGGAACACCAGUGGCGAAGNCGGCCUACUGGGCACCAACUGACGCUGAGGCUCGAAAGUGUGGGUAGCAAACAGGAUUAGAUACCCUGGUAGUCCACACCGUAAACGAUGAUUACUAGGUGUUGGAGGAUUGACCCCUUCAGUGCCGCAGUUAACACAAUAAGUAAUCCACCUGGGGAGUACGACCGCAAGGUUGAAACUCAAAGGAAUUGACGGGGGCCCGCACAAGCAGUGGAGUAUGUGGUUUAAUUCGACGCAACGCGAAGAACCUUACCAAGUCUUGACAUCCUGCGACGCACAUAGAAAUAUGUGUUUCCUUCGGGACGCAGAGACAGGUGGUGCAUGGUUGUCGUCAGCUCGUGUCGUGAGAUGUUGGGUUAAGUCCCGCAACGAGCGCAACCCUUACUGUCAGUUACUACGCAAGAGGACUCUGGCAGGACUGCCGUUGACAAAACGGAGGAAGGUGGGGAUGACGUCAAAUCAUCAUGCCCUUUAUGACUUGGGCUACACACGUACUACAAUGGCGUUAAACAAAGAGAAGCAAGACCGCGAGGUGGAGCAAAACUCAGAAACAACGUCCCAGUUCGGACUGCAGGCUGCAACUCGCCUGCACGAAGUCGGAAUUGCUAGUAAUCGUGGAUCAGCAUGCCACGGUGAAUACGUUCCCGGGCCUUGUACACACCGCCCGUC
rnacentral:rRNA from 1 species